rnacentral:rRNA from 1 species
AUUGAACGCUGGCGGCAUGCUUUACACAUGCAAGUCGAACGGUAACAGGCCGCAAGGUGCUGACGAGUGGCGAACGGGUGAGUAAUGCAUCGGAACGUGCCCAGUCGUGGGGGAUAACGCAGCGAAAGCUGCGCUAAUACCGCAUACGAUCUAUGGAUGAAAGCGGGGGACCGUAAGGCCUCGCGCGAUUGGAGCGGCCGAUGUCAGAUUAGGUAGUUGGUGAGGUAAAGGCUCACCAAGCCAACGAUCUGUAGCUGGUCUGAGAGGACGACCAGCCACACUGGGACUGAGACACGGCCCAGACUCCUACGGGAGGCAGCAGUGGGGAAUUUUGGACAAUGGGCGCAAGCCUGAUCCAGCAAUGCCGCGUGCAGGAAGAAGGCCUUCGGGUUGUAAACUGCUUUUGUACGGAACGAAAAGGUUUGGGUUAAUACCCUGGGCCGAUGACGGUACCGUAAGAAUAAGCACCGGCUAACUACGUGCCAGCCGCCGCCGUAACAC